rnacentral:rRNA from 1 species
ACGGAAUAGAUACCCAGGUAGUCCACGCCCUAAACGAUGUCUACUAGUUGUUGGUGGAGUAAAAUCCAUGAGUAAACGCAGCUAAACGCGUGAAGUAGACCGCCUGGGGAGUACGGUCGCAAGAUUAAAACUCAAAUGAAUUGACGGGGGCCCGGCACAAGCGGUGGAUUAUGUGGAUUAAUUCGAUGCAACGCGAAAACCUUAACCUGGCCGUUGACAUGUAACGAACUUUCCAGAGAUGGAUUGGUGCUCGAAAGAGAACGUUAACACAGGUGCUGCAUGGCUGUCGUCAGCUCGUGUCGUGAGAUGUUGGGUUAAGUCCCGCAACGAGCGCAACCCUUGCCAUUAAUUGUCCAUCAUUUAGUU